AUUGAACGCUGGCGGCAGGCCUAACACAUGCAAGUCGAGCGGAUGAAGGGAGCUUGCUCCUGGAUUCAGCGGCGGACGGGUGGGUAAUGCCUAGGAAUCUGCCUGGUAGUGGGGGAUAACGUCCGGAAACGGGCGCUAAUACCGCAUACGUCCUGAGGGAGAAAGUGGGGGAUCUUCGGACCUCACGCUAUCAGAUGAGCCUAGGUCGGAUUAGCUAGUUGGUGGGGUAAAGGCCUACCAAGGCGACGAUCCGUAACUGGUCUGAGAGGAUGAUCAGUCACACUGGAACUGAGACGCGGUCCAGACUCCUACGGGAGGCAGCAGUGGGGAAUAUUGGACAAUGGGCGAAAGCCUGAUCCAGCCAUGCCGCGUGUGUGAAGAAGGUCUUCGGAUUGUAAAGCACUUUAAGUUGGGAGGAAGGGCAGUAAGUUAAUACCUUGCUGUUUUGACGUUACCAACAGAAUAAGCACCGGCUAACUUCGUG
rnacentral:rRNA from 1 species